rnacentral:tRNA from 1 species
GUGAAUGUGGUUCAAUGGUCAGAAUACGGCCUUGCCAAGGCUGUGAUGGGGGUUCAAUUCCCCUCAUUCACUCCA